GGGGAUCCUCAGGGGACAUGGCGGGGAGGAUGGCACGUCCUGGAGACAUCACACUUGUUCCUCCCUCUGACAGAUGCAUGUGCAGAGGGCCCUGUGGGCGUGCAAGGAUGGAAAUCUCCACUCUAACUCCUUGCUGAGGUUGGACGUCGUGCUUAGGGACAUGGUUUAGUGGGUGAUAUUGGUCGUAGGGGAGCGGUUGGACCAGAUGAUCUUGGAGGUCUUUUCCAACCUUAAUGAUUAUACGAUGUUAUAACUGUUACAAAUGCAUAUUUACAAUUAUAACAUUUUUGUCCAUACUCAUUGAAGACUCCAUUGCUUCAAAACGCAAUGUUCUUUGUUUAGAUAGAACAGAUCGCAGCCUUCGAGGAAUAUUUGUUGUGACUAAUUAUAAACAGAUUAAAAACCUAGGAAAGGUCUUGAUCUACCAAUAUCUGUCAAAUUUCUUAUGUGACUGUCACUGUGCCAGAAUCUUUUAAAGAAAUGUUAGGGCAUGAGAAUCUAACUUAUGUGAACUAAAAGACAAAACAGCAUAAAAAAGAUGAAAAAGACAGUUCAAAGCACAAAACCCUAUGAUGUUUGCCUGGCUUCGGUGCUUUACUUAUGUGAGCGACGUCCCCGCCCUCUGCUAGCAGAACUGUAGUUCUUCACACAAGCAAUAGAGCCGGCCUAAAAAGCAUAAGUGACAAAGCUCCCUCUGCUGACUACAGAAAGAAAAGUCACUCGGUUUUUACAAUGGUAAAUGAAAAAAUAAGAAAGUCGGGGAAAGAGUCUUGCAGAAGAAUGUGGAGGAAAAAGCAAAGGCUGAAAACAACGUGAUUACGCUAGGAAAAUACGUCCGUAUUUAGUGAAUGCUUUUUUAAUCAGCAUUCACAUAAAGUGGUUUGCUGCUGACCCACAUUAUCCAUGUAAGAAAGAGUUUUAAAGUUGAUGGAAUAAUUCAAAGACUGGAAGGAACAGCAUUUGUGGUGUGGCACAUACAGGUCCCAGUGUGCAGCUUUGGAAGUUCACAGCUGAGUAAAAUGAACUGUGAUCUUAGCGCACCAUCGCCCUUCCUAGAAACAUUCAUUUCUGAGGGAAACAGUCACUAAUUUUUAAAAUUUGCAUUUUGACAUGAGCACGUGAGCCCUUGUUGAUGAAAGACCUCAGGGAGAAGAGCUUUGCUUUCUGGAGACACAGAGAAGUUCAAGCAUUCUCCCAGCUAGACUGUAUUCAGGUGACAUAUCACCUGCUACAGCUGAGAGGAGUAACACGGAGGAGACUUUUAGGAGAUAAUUCCCUGCACAGUCAUUACCAACAGCCCACAAACCUGUUUGCAAGAAUUUUGAGUUGAACCGAAUGGCAGCCCUAUGAUUGAGCAUAGCACAGUUACAGGAAAAAAUUAGGAUUCAUAUCCAAAGCAGCCUACAAGUGAUUGACUGACAAGUCAACGUCAAGAGCUACCAGGAAAUUUGUGCUGCAAGACAUGAGCAAAUGUGAUUUAGAGCUCAGAGCUGAGUUAACAAAAUGAGGCAAAAUGGAGGUAUCCAGCUCCAGAGCCUUGCUGGUUGGGGCAGUGUUGCCUUCACUCGCAGGAGGUAUGUGCUGGUGGAGAACCUCUGUUCCAAGUAAGGAGCUGAAGGAGAAGGUCAGCAGGCUCUGCAGUUCCAGAUCCAAUGAGAAAGAGCUUGACAGAACCAUCUCCAAACAAAAGUCUGAGCAGCCAGCUGUCCCAGAGAAGUUAGUGCUCAUCGGGCUGGGAAACGGUGGCUCUUUCAAUGCUGAAGGCUGGGAGCUGGUGACUUCUUGCACCAGGAGGCUCAUUCCUGCUCCACCUGUAGAGCUGCAGCUACAGAUCAUGUUCAAUGUCCUGGCAGCAGUGGAGGGUCUAGGAGCUGUGUCCAAGAAAGUCAUCAAGCCCACAGUGCCGGAGCCUUGCAGCAGCACCAGGAGGAAGCGGCAAGUGUUUCUAGUAGGGAGCUCCUGCUGCAGGGACAAGUGUCCCACCUGGUGACCUGAUCUGCUGUGGAGGUAGGCUGCUCCUUGCCAGGCCUUGGACAUUGUGGAGGGAUUGCUGCUGUUUGUCUAGCACUUGGACCAGCAGCCUCCCUUUUGUCCCAUGUGGACACCAGGGAGGCUGCCAGGGGGACCUGGAGCAUACUGUCUUCUGCAAAUGCAUGGUAAAAUAUCUAGACAAGCAUCCCUGUGAGGAAUAAUCUGCAGCCAAAAGCACAGGCUCAGCCUUCUGAAGGUGGUGCACAACAAACCCUGUCCGGAUCUGAUGCAAGCCUCGGGGAACAGCCAACUUGCUGGAAAACUGGAGCGUUUUGAAUGAAUGCACCAGGCCCACUACGAAUCCUGCAGAGCCAUCUGAAAGCUAAGAAGAGGAAAUAGACCAGUUUGACCUGUUACAACUCGCAGAAGUACAUCAGAAGUGACAAGCUGAACCCACGGAGUUUCCCAGCACCUGACGUGAGGGUGCCAAAAACGGGAGAACAAGCUGAUUUUUGAUACCGUUCUCCAGGCCUGUUGAGUACGCCCAUUAUGUCUUGUUUUCUUUGCUAAGUUGUGUUUCUUCUCUGCUGCUGCACUCUGUAUUUAGGAAUUCAUCUUUUUCUCACAGAGUGGUGUAAAAGAUGUUUCAUGUGGGUGCAUCCAACGAAGUCAGCAUGUGAAAUGCGAGCUAACAGCAACGUAAUGCUGUGUCAGGCUGGAAGAGCAGCUUUGCCACAGCUCCUGGUCAUCUUUUAGGUCGUUUGAGGUGGGAACCCUGCCAUCGUCUCCCUGCAGUCCCACUUCUCCCCUGCUGGCCUAGCUGGGCGAGCAUCUGGGAGAAUGCAGGGCCCAACCAUCGCCCCACAGGGACACCACUGCUGUGCACAGGCCAGAGCAUAGCACCCCAUGCCCCUGGAGCACCACUUUCUCCUAAUCCACCACAAUGUGCACAUCUGCAGAGCGCCUGGUAUACAAAAGCCAGAAUAUUUGGGCUGGCCACAAGUUCCAGAGGAGGUCUCCAGCCCCACAUAGAAGUGAGGGCCGUAUGAUGGCCCUGGUGCCGAUUGCUGCUAGACCAGGGCACCUGGCUGCACCUCGCAGUUACCCCCGAGGGGAUUACUGCCACUCAGGGCAGAGACCUGAGCACCACAAAGCAGUCAGUGUGGCCCUCGGGGCAUGGCACAGUCCAAAGGCACAAAAUCGGCACCCAAGGCCAACUCAGCGCUGUAGCCAGGAAGCCAAAGCAGUCAAAAACAGAUGGAAAGAAAUGAAAAGUCAUCAGGACGGGAAAGGAGUACACGAAGUGAAUGAGGAAAGUCUCAGGACCCCAAAAAACAUUUUACCACAGGUGGGGAAUCUAACACUAGAGAAUGACCUCAGGAAGAAAAAAAAAAAAAUGGAAACAGAAGUGGGUGAGGGAAGAAACACAAUACAAAAAAAUAAGGGAGGAAAGGGAGGUGUCCCUGGAGCCUGACACACAAACACAGCUAAAAGAAGCGUGAGCUGGUGGGGCCAGCUCCUCGGGGUCAGUGUGUGCCAGCCGGUGGCAUGGCAGCUCCCCAGCUGGCCCAGCUUAUCGGGCCCUUGGCUGCCCAGGGCCUGGCUGGUGCCAGCUGCAGAAACUGUGCCAGUCGUGGAGCCAGCGGCUGCCCGGUGCUCCAUGCUCAAGCCACAGGGGCAGGAGGGAAGGCAGGGCCACCACGGGGGGGUACCCCCCUCAGGGGAGGUGCAGAGACACCACAGA